GCCGGGCACCAUGGCACAUGCCUAUGGUCCCAGCUACUGGGGAUGCCGAGGUGGGAGGACCGCUAGAGCCCAGGAGGUCUGAGCUGCAAUGCACUGUGUCUAUCGUGUGUCCGCACUAAGUUCGGCAUCAAUGUGGUGACCUCCUGGGAGUGGGGGACAACCAGGUUGCCUAAGGAGAGGUGAACUGGUCCAGGUUGGAAACGGAGCAGGUCAAAACUCCCAUGCUGAUCUGCAGUGGGAUCACGCCUGUGAAUAGCCACUGCACUCCAGCCUGGGCAACACAGUGAGACACUGCCUCUA
ensembl:misc_RNA Metazoa_SRP Metazoan signal recognition particle RNA